rnacentral:rRNA from 1 species
UACGUAGGGUGCAAGCGUUAAUAGGAAUUACUGGGCGUAAAGCGUGCGCAGGCGGUCUUGUAAGACAGGUGUGAAAUCCCCGGGCUUAACCUGGGAACUGCAUUUGUGACUGCAAGGCUGGAGUGCGGCAGAGGGGGAUGGAAUUCCGCGUGUAGCAGUGAAAUGCGUAGAUAUGCGGAGGAACACCGAUGGCGAAGGCAAUCCCCUGGGCCUGCACUGACGCUCAUGCACGAAAGCGUGGGGAGCAAACAGG